rnacentral:lncRNA from 1 species
CUUUGGAGGCAGACUAUGUACCCCUACCUAUAAUAGAACUUGUUGUUCUUAUCUAAGAUCUUGAAGUAGAUCUUGUGCCCUAGGAGUUCUGGAUUGAACUCUUGCUGCCCUAUCAACCUACAUUCGCCUCUAGAGCGAUAUCUAGCGCAGCACGUUGAAGUUGUUCCUUCAACACUUGUGUUGUACACAUUGUAGCAGCAAGGUGGAGUUGCUCCUCCACAAACUUUGUGCUGCUUCAGGUGGUAUCAGAGCCUCGUUGACCCAUACUAGUUCUUGAUGUCCUCUUCGAGAGUAAGUUGCAGCAAGCAAUGGAGCAAUUGGAGAAGAGGAUGGAUGCUGCUGAACAACAAAUCAAAGAGCUGCGUGAAGAUCUUAAUAGGAGAUUUGACCAGCUGGUUGAGAUGAUAAGAAAGGGUGUCCCCCCUGCUACCAAUGAAGGAGAUUCAUCUAAAGAAGAGGAAGAUGUUCAUCAAGGAAGAAGGAGAGGUAAUCUUGGAGCAAGACCGCCACGACAACAUGUUGUUCAACGUGCUUCAAGAAGGCCAAUUUAUGUUGAGGCUUCUGAAGGUGAAGAAUAUGAUGAUGCCCUUGAAGAGCCAAAUCUCUACGCAUAUCGGAGAGCACCCAACCCUACAUAUGCAAGAGAUACAUACAAGGUGAAAGCUGAGAUCCCAAGUUUUAAUGGAAAUGUUGACAUUGAAGGGUGCCUGGAUUGGUUAUAUGAAGUGGAGACUUUCUUUGAGGUCAUGGAGGUUCCGGAAGAUCAUAGAGUUCCUUUGGUCGCAUACAAACUGAAAGGAGGAGCUGGUGCAUGGUGGCAUCGCGUUCAAGAGGAGCGCAGGCUCAGAGGAGAACCUCGUGUUAGAACUUGGCGACAAAUGAAAGGCCUCUUGGAAGGGAGAUUUUUGCCCGCUGAUUAUGACCAGAUCCUAUUUAUCCAAUUUCGAAAUUGUGCUCAAGGAAAUAGGACUGUUUCAGAUUACACGGAGGAGUUUCUAAGGCUACAAGUGAGGUGUAACCUUGCUGAAACUGAAGAGCAACAAGUUGCAAGGUACAUCAAUGGUCUCAAUGAUGCUAUUCAAGAUCGAUUGAUGAUGCAACAAAUCUGGUCCGUUGAUCAAGCACAAGCUCUAGCCUUAAAGGCCGAGAGGUUUGUGAGGAUGAGAAAGACAACUAAGGCUCCAUAUCCUCCAUAUCCUCAUACCGAAGGCUCAUCUAGGAGCCAACCUAAUAGAGUGAAAGAAAGACCACUCCACCAAAGACAAAACAGCCCAUCCCGAAGCAAACUAGAGGCAAGGGUAAGGCAAAUGAAGGCCCAAAGUGCUAUAAAUGUGGUAAAGAGGGACACAUAUCCAGCGGCUGCCCACUAAGGAAAUUUGUUAACACGACUAUCCAUGAUGGUGAAAGCAAUGAGGAAGAAUACGAAUCUGAAGAUGUAGACGGACAAGAGGUUUGUCAAGAAGAAGGUGAAGAGGUGGUAUGUGUGAUCUAGCGUGUCCUAUGUUCCACACUACAACUCGAUGACACACAACGGAAGAAAAUUUUUGAGAGCAAAUGCACGGUGAAUGGCAAGGUAUGCAAACUAGUGAUUGAUAGUUGCAGCUGCAAGAAUCUUAUCUCCCAGAAGUUGGUGGACCAUUUAAAGCUUGAAACCCAUGAUCAUCCAAAUCCCUACACUAUUGGAUGGAUCAAGAAAGGAGUGAAUAUGAGGAUCACCAAACAAUGCAACCUGCCACUUUCUUUGGGUAAGCAUUAUCGCUCAAAUGUGUUGUGUGAUGUGGUUGACAUGGAUGCCAGCCAUGUUCUUCUUGGAAGGCCUUGGCAAUUUGAUGUGGAUACUACACACAAGGGCAAGGAAAAUUCUUACUCUUUCAUUUGGAACAAGAGAAGGAUCAUUAUCUUACCAAACAAACCCGAAGGUAAUACCUCUAAGGAGGAGGGGAAAACUAUGUUAACUAUCUCCCAUACCUCUCAUGAGUUUAUGGAAGACUUGAAGGAGGCAGAUUUGUGUGCUGCACUUGUUGUAAAGGGAGAAGAGCACCUGACUGUUGAAAUUCCAGCAAAGGUACGUGGUUUAUUGGCAGAAUUUCAGAACAUACUUGGGGAGCCACAUGGCUUGCCACCGAUGAGAGGAAUUCAACAUAGAAUUGACUUAAUUCCGGGAGCAAGUCUUCCUAAUCUUCCACACUAUCGAAUGAGCCCAAAGGAGCAUGGUAUAUUGAAGGAGAAAGUGGAGGAAUUGUUGCAAAAGGGGCACAUUCGAGAAAGUAUUAGCCCAUGUGUUGUACCAGCCCUACUCGCGCCAAAGAAAGAUGGAUCUUGGCGCAUGUGUACGGACAGUAGAGCCGUUAACAAGAUCACCGUAAGGUAUAGAUUCCCUAUUCCGUCUGGAUGAUAUGUUGGAUCAGCUUAGUGGAGCAAGAGUGUUCACAAAGCUAGAUUUAAGAAGUGGAUAUCAUCAAAUCCGUAUAAGACCCGGGGAUGAAUGGAAGACCGCCUUCAAGACAAAGCAAGGGUUGUUUGAAUGGCUAGUCAUGCCAUUUGGACUCUCAAAUGCACCAAGUACCUUUAUGCACUUAAUGAAUCAAGUCCUUAGACCCUUCUUAUCCCACUUUGUUGUGGUCUAUUUCGGUGACAUCUUGAUCUAUAGCAAGGAUGAGGAUGAACACUUUGAUCACAUUCGGAAGGUGCUAGAAGUACUAAGGGAAAAUGAGCUCUACGUCAACUUGAAGAAAUGUGUUUUCCUGCAAACACAACUUCUUUUCCUAGGAUUCGUCAUAACAUGUGACAGCAUUCGUGUUGAUGAUUCUAAGGUUGAAGCAAUCCGAGAAUGACCAACUCCUAAGACCAUUUCUGAGGUAAGAAGCUUUCAUGGCCUUGCAACUUUCUAUAGGCGAUUUGUUAAGAAUUUCAGCACUAUCAUGGCACCAAUUACCGAGUGUUUGAAGAAAGGAAGGUUCCAAUGGGCAGAAGCAGCUGAAGCUAGCUUUAAUGAGAUUAAACAAAAGCUAUCACAAUCUCCUGUCUUGGUACUACCUGAUUUCAACAAGACUUUUGAGUUGGAGUGUGAUGCAAGUGGAGUAGGCAUUGGAGCUGUCCUAUCUCAAGAAAGGAAGCCCAUUGCUUUCUUUAGUGAGAAGUUAAGUGAAGCUAGACAGAAAUGGAGUACCCAUCAGCAAGAAUUAUACGCCGUUUUCAGAGCCUUGAAAACUUGGGAAGUCUAUUUGCUGCCUAAAGAGUUCAUUGUUUAUAGCGACCAUCAAUCCUUGAAGCAUUUUAGAAAUCAAAAGCAUGUUGACCGCAUGCUAGCAAGAUGGGCAGCAUAUCUUGAGAGAUUUAACUAUCUCAUCGUGCAUAAAUCUGGAAUAACUAACAUAGUGGCCGAUGCUUUGAGUCGUCGUGCAUGCCUCUUGACUUCUUUUGAAGCUGAACUUCCGGGCAUGGGUCAAAUAAAGGAGUUGUAUGAGGGUGACGAAGACUUUGGCCAUGUUUGGGUAAAGCACGCAAGGGGCCAACCAUUAGGUGAUGACUAUUUGAUGCAAGAUGGAUAUCUCUUCAAAAAUGAUCGUUUGUGCAUUCCAAGAAGUUAUCUACAUGACAAGCUGGUUAGAGAGCUCCAUUCAAGUGAUCUUAGUGGCCAUGUUGGACGGGACAAGACUAUCGCUAACCUGGAAGCUCGCUACUUUUGGCCAUAACUAAAGAGAGAUGCUAGAAAGUUCGUUCAACGGUGCCCCGUAUGUCAGACCUGCAAGGGCCAAGUCCAGAACACAGGGUUAUACAUGCCUUUGCCUGUUCCUGUUGCUCCAUGGGAGGACAUUUCUAUGGACUUCGUCUUGCGCUUGCCAAGAACAAGACGAGGAAGUGAUGCUGUAUUUGUGGUCGUGGAUAGAUUCUCUAAGAUGGCUCAUUUCAUCCCAUGCCGCAAGACAACGGAUGCUCAUCAUGUGGCAAACCUAUUCUUUCGAGAGGUGGUCAGACUUCAUGGAGUUCCAAGGUCCAUUGUCUCAGACCGUGAUAGCAAGUUUCUUGCUGCAUUUUGGCUCACUUUGUGGAAGCAAUUCAACACUGAAUUGAAAUUUUCUAGCACUGCUCAUCCACAAACAGAUGGACAAACGGAAGUGGUGAACAAGUUUUUGGGUAAUCUGAUCCGUUGCAUUUCUGGAGAAAGAAAGGGGCAAUGGGAUUUGGCUUUAUCUCUUGCAUAGUUCUCCUACAAUAACUCCAAGCAUAGAUCCACAGGAAGGAGCCCUUUUUCCAUUGUCUACACUAAAGUUCCAACACAUGUGGUGGACCUGGUGAAGCUGCCAUCAAGGGGAAACUCAAAAUCAGCAUUGUCCUUUGCUGAUAAUUACACCGAGUUAUUUGAAGAGAUUCGCGGCGCGUUGGAAGCACAAAAUCAGAAAUAUAAACAACUUGCUGAUUGCAAAAAGAGGCCAAAAUCAUUCCAAGUCGGUGAUAAGAUGAUGGUCUACCUCCGAAAAGAGAGGCUGCCUUUAGGUGUUAAAGGAAAACUUAGGCAGCGAAGGUAUGGGCCCUUCUCUAUCAUGAGAAAGAUAAAUGAUAAUGCUUAUAUGAUAGAUCUUCCAAGUGACAUGGGUAUCUCCAACACUUUCAAUGUUGCGGACUUGACUCUCUACCAUUCAGAAGAAGCGCUCUAUGAAGAUAACUCGAGGGCGAGUUCCAAACAACCAGGGGAGAAUGAUGAGGAACACUAAAUGAGAAGAAAGAAAACACAUGCCAGAUCUGUUUGGCUACUUCUAGAUGCUUCCACUCUAGUGUAGUAUUUCUUUUCUUUUCUUUUCUAUCCUAACUACUGUUUUCUAGAGUCUUCUAGUUGCGAGUAGCUAUGAGUAGAAUGGUGAAACUUACAUAAUGUUUUUUAGAGUAUUCCAGCUAUAAGUAGAAGUAUGUGAAGGCUUCCCAAAGCCCUAUAAAUAGAGGUCCUCGCCUCUACUUUGGAGGCAGUAGAGGCAGACUAUGUACCCCUACCUAUAAUAGAACUUGUUGUUCUUAUCUAAGAUCUUGGAGUAGAUCUUGUGCCCUAGGAGUUCUGGAUUGAACUCUUGCUGCCCUAUCAACCUACAUUCGCCUCUAGAGCGAUAUCUAGCGCAGCACGUUAAAGAUGUUCCUUCAACACUUGUGUUGUACACAUUGUAGCAGCAAGGUGGAGUUGCUCCUCCACAAACUUUGUGUUGCUUUUAUAUGAAAUCACACCCACUGCAAAGUUAAUUGAUCAACUAAUGCACUUUUGGCGAACUAAGUCUAACUCACAUGGUUAGGUUACUUGUGGUGAAACCAACCCACUAGGGUUCAAAUCCUAGACUUUGCACUGCUGCUCGCAUUUUAGUUUAGGCUUUCCGACGAUGUUUAUUCUGUGUGAGUAGAUGUUCCCGUCGACUACAUAGGCUCCUAUAGUAUUUUCAUCAAUCUAAGAUGAUGUGCCAGCUCAGUCUCUUAAAGGAGCUCAUAGGGGUAAAGUGUGCAUGCAUGUGUUUAUAGAAGUGAGUGUAUGUGUGUAUGUAUGAGCGCCUACGUCUAUUGUGUCUGAAAAAACUAAAGCGAUUUUGCGACAUGUACGAAAUUGCAGGUCCUAGGCAAGUUCAUGUAUGAACAGCUAAUUAUCUCAAAUAUAAAUACAUGGGCUUACAUGACAACAUGUGAUGCACAAAUAUCUAGCUAGGUAUUCGAUCCACUUGUCAAAAUGCCUACUCUACAAAGCCAUUAUGCAAAAGGAACUUGGACGUUGAUCAUAAAUGCUGAGUGGGCACCAAAUACUCUUGUAAGUUGUAACUGUUAAGUAUGGACAAAGAUCUACGAAGGCAUAUAACUUUAGGAAGAAUAGCCCCUCAACGUAUGCCCAUGCAUCGUAUGGUUGUAACAUGUGUAGCUGUACUCCCAUCAGCAUGCACUGAGAGGUCUUCUAGGAGUAGAGUAUAAGGAAACGAACCCUCCCACCUCUUGUUCAAAAACACUACACAAAUGUUGAGAAAAUGGUUCAGAGCAUCAUCUGUAUAGGCAAAAGCGCUACAAAGGAACAACAUCUUUAAGUGAAACAAAGAGCCUUUUUGAAUUUGAAGUCUCGGAAGAAGAGGACCUAUAUGAGUUGUAUCUCUUUGUAAAAAUCAUAUACUCUGGUCCCUCUUAGUUGAAGCAUGCUUUGUACUCCCUCCGUACAGACGGACACAAGCAUGAGUUGUACUACUUUAGUAGUGAUCCAAACACUCUUAUACUCCCUCCGUUUCAA